rnacentral:lncRNA from 1 species
AUCUGAUGUGGAAUAUGGCUUUGGUUUGGUGCAGUUUUUAUCUGUUUUACUUAUGGUUUUUCUGGCUGCACGUGUGAGGUGAUCUGAAGUGGAAUAUAGGGCAUUUUGUCCAAGGUUUUGGUGCAGUUUUGUUUAUGAAAAUCACUGUUGCUAUGCUGUUGGGGAUCUACUACAUGCUGAAUUCAUUUCAGCUCCUAGUAGCUAGGAGUCUUUCCUUUCUUUUGCUGGCAGUUUUGUGCCGUUUGUUCUCUAGUUUAGCUUUGGAUGCCGUGAUGUAAUGACUCUAUUGUUAUUUAUAUAUUUUU